CAUGCCUUAUACAUGCAAGUCGAACGCGAAAGUACCUUCGGGUAUCAGUAGAGUGGCAAACGGGUGAGUAACGCGUGGGAAUAUACCUUAUAGUACGGAAUAGCCUCGGGAAACUGGGAUUAAUACCGUAUACGCCCUUAGGGGGAAAGAUUUAUCGCUAUAAGAUUAGCCCGCGUCAGAUUAGCUAGUUGGUGGGGUAACGGCCUACCAAGGCAACGAUCUGUAGCUGGUCUGAGAGGAUGACCAGCCACAUUGGGACUGAGAUACGGCCCAAACUCCUACGGGAGGCAGCAGUAGGGAAUAUUGGACAAUGGGGGAAACCCUGAUCCAGCAAUGCCUCGUGAGUGAUGAAGGCCUUAGGGUUGUAAAGCUCUUUUAGUGGGGAAGGUAAUGACGGUGCCCACAGAAAAAGCACCGGCUAACUCCGUGCCAGCAGCCGCGGUAA
rnacentral:rRNA from 1 species